AGCCUUGGGGUGUAACAUGUUAGAUUGCAAAUCUAAAGAAGCAGGUUAGUAGCCUGCCGGGGCUU